rnacentral:rRNA from 1 species
AACCUGCCCUCCACUCUGGGAUAACUCCGGGAAACCGGUGCUAAUACUGGAUAUGACCUACUCGGGCAUCCGAUGUGGGUGGAAAGAUUUAUUGGUGGGGGAUGGACUCGCGGCCUAUCAGCUUGUUGGUGAGGUAAUGGCUCACCAAGGCGACGACGGGUAGCCGGCCUGAGAGGGCGAUCGGCCACACUGGGACUGAGACACGGCCCAGACUCCUACGGGAGGCAGCAGUGGGGAAUAUUGCACAAUGGGCGAAAGCCUGAUGCAGCGACGCCGCGUGAGG